rnacentral:tmRNA from 1 species
CCUCUUCCAAUCGCGGUCAACCGCGCCUAUAUACGGCGUGUCAGCGCAAGCUGACUAUGGUGAUAAACGGACGGUGUAAUAAACCCAUUGGACCCGGGGGGGGCGGUACCCGGCGCCUCCACCAGAAUACAGAUCGGCUAAUGGUUUGUAUUGUGGCGGGGGSGGAGAACAGGAUCGACAAGGGUGUAAAGAUCGCUCUUUUACUCGGCAUGAUACCACCGUUAUCGGGUCAAUUGAGUAGUUGCAAAUGACAACAAAGCUCAGGGUUAUGCUCUCGCUGCCUAAUGGCGGUGCGGGAAACCCACUCUAAAGCCCUUGGGGGGGUUAGCACCUUAAGGCGGGGGGGUUCGGAGGCACCUGGCAACAGAAGCCUCCACU